CAGCUCUCAGGAGAUGUGUCAUAAAGAUAAGCAGAUAACUGAAUGUGGACAUGUUUCCCACAGAUCCUUCACCAAGCCCUGCUGCCUGGGACCCUCAGUCUCUGCCACCUUCUUCCUGCUCCACGGUGCUCAGUCUGAGAGAAGGAGCUGCCCAGAAGCCUCUGUAGACUGUUCCAAAUGCCUCCUCCCAGGACACCAGCCAGCCCACAGGCCCCUGUUGUGCCUCUGCCCAGUCCUCGAGCCCCAGGCUAAGCCUGCACUCAUGGUCCUGAGCAGGGCCCUGGGACCUGCCUCUGGACAGCAACUCAUGAUCCCUCCCCAGAAUGUGACAAGAAAGCCCCAUCUGACCGCAUCAGGAUGGCUCUCCUCCUUUGCCUUGGGCUCAGCCAUCAAGCACCCCAAGUCCUCGCUCUCAAGAGUCAUUCUACCUUCUUUUUCCUGCCUACCCUUGCUCCCCAGCCUUGUUGAGGUGCAAGGUGUUGAGGUUCUCAAAGGAAACUCAUAAUUAUUUAAUAAGAAUAAUUCUCAUUCUCCUUUACAUAGAUGUCCCAUGCCUCAAAGCCAGGAAAAAAGUUUGCCUUAAUCUGAGUGGUUUUCUUCCUCAGCACUUAUUAAUAAUAGCAUUAUACUGGAUGAUGGCAGUCCUUGUUGUCCAUAGAAACCCUGGGCCAUCUCCAUGAAGAUUAAGAAAAACAGUGAUUGUUCUUGCACAUUCACAGUUUUUUUCAGAAUAUUAAAAACUCUCAUUAUGUCAGUUAAAUGUCAGUUUAAAUGUAUAGGGAAAUGUAAAUAAUAAUAAGAUGAGCACUUAGUGUACUGUAAGUGGAAACAUUAGAAACUGAGUGGUAGUGUUGUUUUUCUUUGUAAAAAUUUAUCCAGAGGAGUCUGAAGAGUGUCCAUCUUGUUCUUCUUUAAAAUAUAAAGCAAGCAUCUUCUCUGCCUUGGGGAAUUAUCAGCCCCUUUAACACCAUCACCCUUUUGGUCACCACCACUCCCCUGGUGUAUGUGGGUAGCUUCACCUUCACUAGGUUCCUCCGUCUGCCAAAGGAAAGUCCCCAUGUGGGAUCCAUGUCCACACACCAUAGCCAGCUACUUCUAUCCUGACUCCACUUGUGUCCAGUGUGAAUCUCACUUCCAGCAUUGUCACCUCUCCUGUCCUUUCAUGUCUGUUGGCAAGUCCCUCUUUCAAUUUUUCAUUUCUGGAAAAUGUCAUGUGGGUUCAUUGUUGGGAGACAAGGAAGUCACAUGACAAUCAAGCUCCACUGUCUGUGUGGAAACUGAGUGAGACAGUCACAGGACGGAUCCAAGAGUCAACAGUGACGAGUCACUGAAGAGGAGGACCAUUUGGUGUCCCCAUAAUGGUCUGUGGAUGAAAGAGCUAGUGUGGAAUUUUCUCUAUGCAAUUGCAGUAAACCUACAGUGACAUUAAAUUUGAGCCAUGUAUUGGGGGAUUUGUGCUAUUUAAUUAAACUGUUACAACUAAAAUUCAUGCAUAUCAGCCCCAAAGUGAGAACUGCCUGUUUUUGCUUGUCUGUCUUCCUCAAAUAGAAUGUGAGUUCUAACAGGGAAUGGACCAUCUAAGCCUCCAUGUCUAGGUCAGUAACUGCAAUGUUUUUUUCAAACAGUUUUCAAAUUUUUUAAUAAAUGAAUAAAAACAUUAUUGGGGA
rnacentral:lncRNA from 1 species